GAUGAAGAACGCAGCGAAAUGCGAUAAGUAAUGUGAAUUGCAGAAUUCAGUGAAUCAUCGAAUCUUUGAACGCACAUUGCGCCCGGUAGUAUUCUGCCGGGCAUGCCUGUUCGAGCGUCAUUUCAACCAUCAAGCCCCCGGCUUGUGUUGGGGACCUGCGGCUGCCGCAGGCCCUGAAAACCAGUGGCGGGCUCGCUAGUCACUCCGAGCGUAGUAAUACAUCUCGCUCAGGGCGUGCUGCGGGUUCCGGCCGUUAAAAAGCCUUAUUUACCCAAGGUUGACCUCGGAUCAGGUAGGAAGACCCGCUGAACUUAAGCAUAUCAAUAAGCGGAGGA
rnacentral:misc_RNA from 1 species